rnacentral:rRNA from 1 species
AUUGAACGCUGGCGGCAGGCCUAACACAUGCAAGUCGAACGAGUGGCGGACGGGUGAGUAAUGUCUGGGAAACUGCCUGAUGGAGGGGGAUAACUACUGGAAACGGUAGCUAAUACCGCAUACCAUCAGAUGUGCCCAGAUGGGAUUAGCUUGUUGGUGGGGUAAAGGCGCACCAAGGCGACGAUCCCUAGCUGGUCUGUGAGGAUGACCAGCCACACGUGAACUUAGACACGGUCCAGACUCCGACGGGAGGCAGCAGUGGGUAAUAUUGCACAAUGGGCGAAAGCCUGAUGCAGCCAUGCCGCGUGUAUGAAGAAGGCCUUCGGGUUGUAAAGCACUUUCAGCGGGGAGGCGUUACCAACAGAAGAAGCACCGGCUAACUCCGUGCCAGCAGCCGCGGUAAUUC